AUUGAACGCUGGCGGCAGGCCUAACACAUGCAAGUCGAGCGGAAACGAGUUAACUGAACCUUCGGGGGACGUUAACGGCGUCGAGCGGCGGACGGGUGAGUAAUGCCUAGGAAAUUGCCCUGAUGUGGGGGAUAACCAUUGGAAACGAUGGCUAAUACCGCAUGAUGCCUACGGGCCAAAGAGGGGGACCUUCGGGCCUCUCGCGUCAGGAUAUGCCUAGGUGGGAUUAGCUAGUUGGUGAGGUAAGGGCUCACCAAGGCGACGAUCCCUAGCUGGUCUGAGAGGAUGAUCAGCCACACUGGAACUGAGACACGGUCCAGACUCCUACGGGAGGCAGCAGUGGGGAAUAUUGCACAAUGGGCGCAAGCCUGAUGCAGCCAUGCCGCGUGUGUGAAGAAGGCCUUCGGGUUGUAAAGCACUUUCAGUCGUGAGGAAGGUAGUGUGUUUAAUAGAUGCAUUAUUUGACGUUAGCGACAGAAGAAGCACCGGCUAACUCCGUGCCAGCAGCCGCGGUAAUACGGAGGGUGCGAGCGUUAAUCGGAAUUACUGGGCGUAAAGCGCAUGCAGGUGGUUUGUUAAGUCAGAUGUGAAAGCCCGGGGCUCAACCUCGGAAUAGCAUUUGAAACUGGCAGACUAGAGUACUGUAGAGGGGGGUAGAAUUUCAGGUGUAGCGGUGAAAUGCGUAGAGAUCUGAAGGAAUACCGGUGGCGAAGGCGGCCCCCUGGACAGAUACUGACACUCAGAUGCGAAAGCGUGGGGAGC
rnacentral:rRNA from 1 species